CAGCUCAGGGCCACCUCCUCCAGGAAGCCCUCCUGAGGCCUCUCCCACUCCUCCCUGGGCUCCCAGAGGAGCCUUGGAGCAAGGAGGCCAAGAGAGGAAGAGGCCCGGAGCUGUCCUGGCCCCACCUCGCCUCCCCAGGUGGCCCCGUGCCGGUAUCCCUGUGCUCGGGACGCUCUCGUUUCUGGGCUGCGUCGGGCAGGAUGAGCUCCCACGUGGCCAAUCUGGAGACGGAUCAGACCAGGAAUUCCACAGCCGGCAGAGCGGAGCCAGGCUUAAUGCCGAGAAAACCGGCGCCCCUGCUGCCGCCGGCCCAGGGCCCCACUCACAGCCAGCACCGCCUCCUGAACGCCCUGAUGCCCCGCUGGGGCUCUGAGGGUCCCCGCCUGCCUGGACCACAGCAAAGUGGCUGAAGUGGCCAACCGCCCACUGUGCCCAGGCCUGGGAGAGGUGGGAGCUGGGCCUGGCGGGGACCCUGCUGUCCACUUAGGACAGGGCUCCCCCAGGUCUGUGGACAGCUUCCCAGAGCUCCCUGCCGGCCAGCUUCAGGCCAUAGAGGGCCAGACAAAAAGACCACCGCCUCGAAGACGCCCUCCCGGACAGCCACCUGUGCCUACAUCGUGUACAAAAAUGACCUGGAGUGUGUUUCUGCCGCAUUGUCAAUCCCUCCCCGCCUUCCAGUGUGUACCUCUCCUAAGCUCCACCCAAUGUGGUCCAUCCUGGUGCCUGAAACCCUGAAGGCACGCAACUCAAAGACGGAGGCUUCACCACACUCAGUUAAUGAAACCGGCUUUUAUGAGACGCACCGGACCAGCUGCGUGGCUUUGGCUGAGCUGCGUAACCUUUCUGAACCUUAUCUCCGGGCUGCCAUGAGAAUUGAGAGUGAGGAAGGCCCGGGGCCCUCACAGGUGAGUGUCUCACCAGGUGGGAGAGCCGCUUCCCGGAGGGUACAGCCUGCGAGGGUGUGGGCUGCCCAGGGCUCCAUGAGGUUUAAGACCCCAAACUCGAAGGCAGCCUGGUUUGAGUGCCGGCUCUGCUGCGCUCUGGUCCUGACAUGGGAGAACGUCACUUGGCCCCUGCCUCAGUUGCCCCAUCUGGAAAGGGAGGUGACAGCCAUAGAUGCUUCAGCAGCCCAUGCUGGGGAAACCUGGACGUGGCCACCUUGGAGUUUUAGGGGCAGGGAGCAGGAUGUCUGGAGAGUUCCAUGAAGUUCUAGGACCCAGCAGAGCCCUGGGCGUGGGCAGGGCUGGAAAGACUGGGACAGACCCCGUGCAGUUUCAGGGCCCCUGGAUGGACGGAGCCUGGAGCCGGGGCAGUCAGCGUGUGUGUGUGUGUGUCCACCUGUGUGUCUCUGCAUGUGUGUGCCUGUGACUGCCUGGGGGCAGGGACUGAGGGUACGCUAGCUGGGGAUGGCACCCGUUUCCUGCCAGUGAAGACAGAGUGGCAGGGGGAGGGGUCCUAGAGAAAGUCCCAGCCUCUGGUUCAGAGGGGGAAAC
rnacentral:lncRNA from 1 species